GCCCGCCUAGCUCAAUCGGAUAGAGCGUCAGACUCUUAAUGGCUAGAAGGCGGAUCUGAAGGCUGCGAGUUCGACUCUCGCGGUGGGCU